rnacentral:rRNA from 1 species
UACAGAGGUCCCGAGCGUUGUUCGGAUUCACUGGGCGUAAAGGGUGCGUAGGUGGUGAGGUAAGUCGGAUGUGAAAUCUCCAAGCUCAACUUGGAAAUGGCAUUGGAAACUACCUUGCUGGAGGUUUGGAGGGGGGACUGGAAUUCUCGGUGUAGCAGUGAAAUGCGUAGAUAUCAGGAGGAACACCAAUGGCGAAGGCAGCUCGCUGGGACGGUACUGACGCUGAGACGCGAAAGCGUGGGGAGCAAACAGG